AUUGAACGCUGGCGGCAUGCCUUACACAUGCAAGUCGAACGGCAGCGGACCUUCGGGUGCCGGCGAGUGGCGAACGGGUGAGUAAAGUAUCGGAACGUACCUUUCAGUGGGGGAUAACUGUCCGAAAGGACAGCUAAUACCGCAUAUUCUGUGAGCAGGAAAGCAGGGGAUCGCAAGACCUUGCGCUGAUUGAGCGGCCGAUAUCAGAUUAGCUAGUUGGUGAGGUAAAGGCUCACCAAGGCGACGAUCUGUAGCGGGUCUGAGAGGAUGAUCCGCCACACUGGAACUGAGACACGGUCCAGACUCCUACGGGAGGCAGCAGUGGGGAAUUUUGGACAAUGGGGGCAACCCUGAUCCAGCCAUGCCGCGUGAGUGAAG
rnacentral:rRNA from 1 species